UUCCCGAUAGCUCAGUAGGUAGUAGCGCCUGGCUGUUAACCAGGAGGUCCGCGGUUCGAACCCGUGUCGGGGAG
rnacentral:tRNA from 1 species